GCGACUUUAGCUCAGCUGGUAGAGCGCGACCUUGCCAAGGUCGAGGUCACGAGUUCGAACCUCGUAAGUCGCUCCA
rnacentral:tRNA from 3 species